rnacentral:rRNA from 1 species
UGCGGUUAAAAAGCUCGUAGUUGGAUCUCGGCAGGUAGGGGGCGGUUCGUUUCUGACGGCACUGCCCCAUUUACCUGUGUUUUUGACGGAGGUCUCAAGGUGGCUUUGAUCGGCUGUCUUGGUACGCCGUCAGGUUUACUUUGAAAAAAUUAGAGUGCUCAAAGCAGGCUACAAAGCUUGAAUAUUUGUGCAUGGAAUAAUGGAAUAGGAAGUCGUUUCUAUUUUUUUUGGUUUUCGGAAAUUGACUUAAUGAUUAAUAGGGACAGCCGGGGGCAUUAGUACUCAGACGACAGAGGUGAAAUUCUUGGACCGUUUGAGGACUAACUACUGCGAAAGCAUUUGCCAAGAGUGUUUUCAUUAAUCAAGAACGAAAGUUAGAGGUUCGAAGGCGAUCAGAUACCGCCCUAGUUCUAACCAUAAACGAUGCUGACUAGCGAUCCGUAGCUGUUUUCUAUGUAGGCUCUACGGGAAGCUUCCGGGAAACCAAAGUUUUUGAGUUCCGGGGGAAGUAUGGUUGCAAAGCUGAAACUUAAAGGAAUUGACGGAAGGGCACCACCAGGAGUGGAGCCUGCGGCUUAAUUUGACUCAACACGGGAAAUCUCACCAGGCCCGGACACUGGAAGGAUUGACAGAUUGAGAGCUCUUUCUCGAUUCAGUGGGUGGUGGUGCAUGCCCGUUCUUAGU